rnacentral:antisense_RNA from 1 species
CUUCAUCGAGCCGAGUAAAAGUGGCUGGUCCGCGGAGCGGUCCUGACCGUAUGUCGCCAGAAGGGCCUGGGCUUC